rnacentral:sRNA from 1 species
AUUUUGUGAUUAAAGAUAGGGUGCCGAACCCUAGAACAGGGUUCACCUGAGCGAAGCGAAAGCACAUUGCCCGUGCCGAAGGCGCGAAAAGGCAAUAGCCCGAAGGGCGCGAGCUUGCGAGCAGUAAAUCCCUAUCUCUCCGCCA